rnacentral:tRNA from 3 species
GCGGCUAUGGCGAAGGGGUUAACGCACCGGAUUGUGGUUCCGGCAUGCGUGGGUUCAAAUCCCACUAGUCGCCCCA